GUGAAACAGAGGCAGAGACGGACGACGACGCAGAAGUGAUCGGCAACAAGCGACAAGAAGAAAAGUUUAAAAUUGAAGGAAGGAAACACUAGGAAAUAAGAUUAGAUAGGAAUCUAGGAAUCGCAAUAAGGAAGACAGACUCAGUAUGAAGAUAAUGAAAUGGAUUACACUAUGGCUCAUGGUGAGCGAUAUCUGCAUCUCCCUCCUGCAAAUCAAGAAGGGAGCAAUCCUAAAAGAACAUGGUCAUGUAAAGAUGAUACACGACAUAGCGGUUGUAACCAUCAACAUUACAACAGUAGAAGAACAGCAACAAGAGCUUCAUAGUUUAAUGGCUAACAUUGAAAGUCUCAUGUCUAAUAACCAAAACAAUUCUAUUCUUUUAAAGCUUAGGGAAGAUGUUAGUCAAGUAUUACCCAAGAGGGUUAACAAAAGAUCGUUGUUUACCGUUUAUAGGCACAGCCUUAAACACUUUGUUUGGUGUAGCUACUGAUGGUGAUGUAGAUAAAGAUAGGGCUAGAAUAGAAAAAUUAGAGUUAUGGGCCGCGGAACGAGGUACCAUCAUGACUAAGGUCAUUGAUGCAACUAACAAGAACCAAGAUUUGAUUGUUAAACUAAAGGACUUUGUAAACAAUAUGGCUCAGAAUAUUACUACAGAGUUAAAUGACUUAAGCAAGUCACAGUAUGUGACUCAGUUAUUA